rnacentral:rRNA from 1 species
CUACGGGCUGCUGCAGUGGGGAAUAUUGCACAAUGGGGGAAACCCUGAUGCAGCGACGCCGCGUGAAGGAAGAAGGCCUUCGGGUUGUAAACUUCUUUGAUUGGGGACGAAUAAAAUGACGGUACCCAAAGAACAAGCCACGGCUAACUACGUGCCAGCAGCCGCGGUAAUACGUAGGUGGCAAGCGUUGUCCGGAAUUACUGGGUGUAAAGGGCGUGUAGGCGGGUAUGCAAGUCAGAUGUGAAAUUCCACGGCUUAACUGUGGGCGUGCAUCUGAAACUGUAUAUCUUGAGUGCUGGAGAGGAAAGCGGAAUUCCUAGUGUAGCGGUGAAAUGCGUAGAUAUUAGGAGGAACACCAGUGGCGAAGGCGGCUUUCUGGACAGUAACUGACGCUGAGGCGCGAAAGCGUGGGGAGCAAACAGGAUUAGAUACCCUCGUAGUC